rnacentral:rRNA from 1 species
UACGGAGGGAGCUAGCGUUGUUCGGAAUUAUUGGGCGUAAAGGCGCGUAGGCGGCCUGGCAAGUGGAAGGUGAAAUCCCUCGGCUUAACCGAGGAACUGCCCUCCAAACUGCUUGGCUUGAGUCCGGGAGAGGUGAGUGGAAUUCCCAGUGUAGCGGUGAAAUGCGUAGAUAUUGGGAGGAACACCAGUGGCGAAGGCGGCUCACUGGACCGGAACUGACGCUGAGGCGCGAAAGCGUGGGGAGCAAACGGG